rnacentral:ncRNA from 1 species
GAUCUCUGGAGAAUCUCAUUUAUGAGUGCCGAAGGUGCAAGGCGAAAGCCGAAUCUCUCAGGCAAAAGGACAGAGGCU